rnacentral:rRNA from 1 species
UACGUAGGGAGCAAGCGUUGUUCGGAUUUACUGGGCGUAAAGGGCGCGUAGGCGGCAAAUUAAGUCAGCUGUGAAAUCUCCGAGCUUAACUCGGAACGGUCAGCUGAUACUGAUCUGCUAGAGUGCGGAAGGGGCAAUCGGAAUUCUUGGUGUAGCGGUGAAAUGCGUAGAUAUCAAGAGGAACACCUGAGGUGAAGACGGGUGCUGGGCCGACACUGACGCUGAGUGCGCGAAAGCCAGGGGAGCAAACGGG